GUCCUAGUAGCCAAGAGGAAAGGCAGAGCUCUGCAAAAGCUUGAACGUUGGUUCAAAUCCAACCUAGGACU
rnacentral:tRNA from 1 species